AAAAGAGGGGGGAGACCUCGUCCAGACAUAUAUAUGAAGGCAUUCGGCGAUGCUCUUGAUGACUGUCAUCUUGUUGACUGUGGAUAUGUGGGAGAUAAAUUCACAUGGCAACGAGGCAUGAUCCGAGAAAGACUGGAUAGAGCACUUGCAAAUGAUGGGUGGCAAAGGAAAUUUGCGAAUGCUACUGUACAUCAUCUGAAUUAUAGCAAGUCUGAUCAUAGGCCUAUUCUGAUGUCUCUAGAUGAAGAGCCGGUGCACGAGCAUAAUGGGCCGACCCUGCUCAGGUUUGAAUCAAGAUGGCUAAAGGAGAAAAGAUUUUUGGAAGUUGUGCAACAAGCAUGGGAUCAGUCUCAUGCUCCAGCUGGGAAUGUUUCGUUGGCUGACAGAUUAGCGGCUAUCCACAAGGACCUGCAUGUUUGGGACAGAUCAGUCCUUAAAGGUACAAAGAAUAAACUUCGCAGUGUAAAAAAGGAGAUGGAGGAGGUCUCGAGGCGAGAACUGUCAAGUGAAAAUGUAGCGAGGCAGAAGGAACUAGCGAUGGAGAUAGAAAAAUUACUAGAGAUGGAAGAAAUGUAUUGGGCUCAAUGA
rnacentral:rRNA from 1 species